AAAGAAGAGAGUUGAUUAUGACCUUGAAGACAAAGUGUAGAGAUUUGAUUUGCAAAAUCUAGAGUCUGGGGUUGAAUCUCUACCCUGACAUUUGUUAGCUAUGAGAACUUGGACACUUUCUUAAUCUCUCUGUGCCUCAGUUUCUUCACCUUUAAAAUGAGCCCUAUCUCAUUAUUACAGGGUACACAAGUAAAGUGCCUGUAGCAUCAGUGCCCACCACAUAGUAAGUGCUCCAUAAAUGUUAGCUAUAAUCAUCAUCACUGUCUUUUUUUUUUUUUUUUUUUUCUUUAGACAGGGUCUCACUCUGUCACCCAGGCUGGAGUGCAGUGGUGCGAUCACAGCUCAAUGCAACCUCCACUUCCUGGCCUGAAGCAAUCCUCCCACCUCAGCCUCCUGAGUAGCUGGGACUACAGGCACACACCACCACACCUGGCUUUUUUUUUUUUUUUUUUUUUUCAGUAGAGACGGGGUUUCACCAUGUUGCUCAGGCUGGUCUUGAACUCCUGGACUCAAGUGAUCUACCUGCCUUGGCCUCCCACAGUGCUGGGAUCACUGUCUAUCUUUUAAGGAUGAUAGUAUUUGGCAGGGGCUGCAGCUGGAGUUGAGGGAACUAUCAGAAGAAUGAAGGAUAUGUCACUGUAUUCCUUUUGUAUAACAACAUGGAGUUUAGCAGCUUUAUUUCUAACACAGAGGCCUAAUGUGAGAAACAAUACUAACCAGGGCACGAUAGAAAGAAACCAGUGUUUCUUUCUAGGGAAAGCCCACAGUGAGGCUGGCAUCUUGGAGAGAUGGUAAGUGGAGGAAGUGGGAGAGAGGCCUCACACACUGGUAAAGUGGGGAAAAGACUGAACUACAGGGUUCGGAGGCUCUCACAACUGCCCGUGCAGUGAGCAAAAUUCACCAGAUGCCUGUAACACCUUGUGACCCUGUUUCUCCAGAGCUCAGCUUCCUCUUCUGUUCUUAGGCAUAGUGCUGCACUACAUAAUCUUCCAGAGCCGGUCCCGCUGUAUUACACUCUGAUGUGAAGAGUCAGCUGAACUCUCAUUUCCCCAACAGGGACCUCUUUUUAUGGCAAAACCCAGCAGGUUUCAUCUCGUCAGGGAAAAGGGAUAGAAAGUGGAAGAGAAUUCUACCUGGUAACUAAUUUUUCAUUUUCAUUGGUUUAGGAAAGGAAAUACAAUGAACUGUUCUCUUCGCGAUCCAAAAUAAAAGUUCUCGCAGCUAGAACACCGUUUUUGUUUUUAUACACCGAACCCCUCGCGCUCUCCCUGCUUUUUUUGUUGUUGUUGUUGUGCUUAAUGUUAGAAAAUAACGUUACUACUAUGAAACGAAGAGAAUUUUUUUUCAAAACCAUGUCUUGCCAUGACAGAUGAGAAAAGGCAACACCAUGCUAAUAUGCUGUUGAUGUAAAAAUAAAAGUUUUUUUUCCCUUCAAAGUAAACAAGUUAAUUGAACGUGCUAGGACAGAGUUAGGUUAUUUUUGUUCCCCCUCUCUUUGAAGGCCACUAAUUGUGCCCUUUUGCUUUAAAUCAAUAGAGGCAAAGCCCACAGCAGAUAGUGUCAGUAAUGCAAAUCCAUUCCUAUUGUAAUUCACUUUUCAGAACAAAACCUUUUCCAUCAGCAAAGCAUUUUAGAACCUCAAGCUACACUGUUCCCACCUGCAACUCUCUAAGGUAUUGGAGGUCAAGGACAAAGUCCAAGGCCAAGUCAAGGACCAUCAGGACGCAGAGGAGUAACUUCUGAGGCAGCCCCCACUGGGACUUUCCUUAAAGAGGCUUUAAGGAAGAACUUAAAAUGGAGAAAGCCAACUUUUGAACGUGGUGAUCAGGCUGCCUUCAGUCUCUUCUACGUCAGCGAGUCAAGGGGCUGUGGAACCAUCCGUUCUACCUGCUACAUGGUUUCUCACCCUUCUCCUAACGUGACAAAUACUAUGUGGCAUCUCCAUCAUGGCUGACAUUGCUAGGCCCUACUUUAUUCAACUCUAACUGAAAAAUAGGGAGCAAGAAAGGAUUAUGCUCAAGGAAACCAGGAAAAAGACGUAAAUAGAAGUAUAUAUUAUCAUCUAGAUGGUGACUCUCCAAGGGGAUGAUGAGGGAACAGAAGUAAUGCCACCCUAAUUCUGAAAUAAUAAAAGCUCAAGCAAUGAAUGGCUGAAUUCACACCUCAAAAUUUCAUGGAAGACAGGCAUACAAAAAUAAGCUUUCAAAACUGAAUGAACUCAUUACCACAAUUAAAGAAAACAAAAAGAAACAUUUUGCAUAACUGCUGGUUUUGCUGCUCCUUCUGCUAAUUUGUGUGGAAGAGUCACUGUGUGGACCACCGAUGCUUCAAUGCACUUAACCAACACCUUUAGAAGAAAACAGGAUAGCUACAAAAUAAGUGUGUGGAAACUCUACAGCAAGAACCAACACAAAUUAAACUGUCUAAAAAAUCAAUUGGGGCAUGCAUCUUCUUCUGAACUACAUUUACUAGAGCCUGCCACCCACAGAUGUCAAAGGAAUUCACAGGAUUAAAAGAAAAGGCUGGAGCCUACUCACUGUGAAGACAAUGAGGAUGAAGACCUUUAUGACAAUCCACUUCCACUUAAUGAAUACCUCAACUGAAUAGCAGAGAGAUUUUGGCUUUCAUUCCAGAAUGAUGUUUCACAGAAAGUCAACUCUUGUUCCAGGGCACGAGUAAAGAUAUCAACCCAUCUAUCUGUAGAAAAUCGCCAGAAACUGUCACAAAAUAAAAAAUGAGAGAAGGCCUGAAUUACGACAGCCCUGGUGGGGUUCUACAAGUGGGCUUUUUUCCCUUGACAACCAACGAUUGAUACAUCGUGCAUGUUAAAAAGCAGAGGGCUUUAAGUAAGUUUUCAAUGGAAAUAAUUUUUUUUCCCUGCACCUUCCCUUUUUGUGAUA